rnacentral:rRNA from 1 species
GAUGAACGCUGGCGGCGUGCUUAACACAUGCAAGUCGAACGGAAAGGCCCUGGCUUGCAGGGGUACUCGAGUGGCGAACGGGUGAGUAACACGUGAGUGACCUGCCCUUGACUUCGGGAUAACUCUGGGAAACUGGGGCUAAUACCGGAUAGGACCACUUUCUGCAUGGUGGGGUGUGGAGAUUUUCGGCGGGGGGGGAUGGGCUCGCGGCUUAUCAGCUUGUUGGUGGGGUAGUGGCCUACCAAGGCGUCGACGGGUAGCCGGCCUGAGAGGGUGGACGGCCACAUUGGGACUGAGAUACGGCCCAGACUCCUACGGGAGGCAGCAGUGGGGAAUAUUGCACAAUGGGCGGAAGCCUGAUGCAGCGACGCCGCGUGGGGGAUGACGGCCUUCGGGUUGUAAACUGCUUUCGCUAGGGACGAAGCGUGAGUGACGGUACCUGGAGAAGAAGCACCGGCUAACUACGUG